rnacentral:rRNA from 1 species
GAUGAACGCUAGCUACAGGCUUAACACAUGCAAGUCGAGGGGAAACGACAUCGAAAGCUUGCUUUUGAUGGGCGUCGACCGGCGCACGGGUGAGUAACGCGUAUCCAACCUGCCCAUCACUUGGGGAUAACCUUGCGAAAGUAAGACUAAUACCCAAUGAUAUCUCUAGAAGACAUCUGAAAGAGAUUAAAGAUUUAUCGGUGAUGGAUGGGGAUGCGUCUGAUUAGCUUGUUGGCGGGGUAACGGCCCACCAAGGCAACGAUCAGUAGGGGUUCUGAGAGGAAGGUCCCCUACAUUGGAACUGAGACACGGUCCAAACUCCUACGGGAGGCAGCAGUGAGGAAUAUUGGUCAAUGGGCGAGAGCCUGAACCAGCCAAGUAGCGUGCAGGAAGACGGCCCUACGGGUUGUAAACUGCUUUUAUAAGGGAAUAAAGUGAGAGUCGUGACUCUUUUUGUAUGUACCUUAUGAAUAAGGACCGGCUAAUUCCGUG